AGCAGUCGCCGCGGUAAAACGGAGGGAGCUAGCGUUGUUCGGAAUCACUGGGCUUAAAGCGCGUGUAGGCGGAUGGGAGCGUCGGCCUCUGAAAUCCCCCGGCUCAACCGGGGAAGUGGAGCCGAAACGACCCGUCUGGAGGGACGUAGGGGGACCUGGAACUUCCGGUGGAGCGGUGAAAUGCGUUGAGAUCGGAAGGAACGCCCGUGGCGAAAGCGAGGUCCUGGACGUCUGCUGACGCUGAGACGCGAAAGCCAGGGGAGCGAACGGGAUUAGAUACCCGUGUAGUCCCUGUCUCUUAUA
rnacentral:rRNA from 1 species